CCUACGGGAGGCAGCAGUGGGGAAUAUUGCCCAAUGGGGGAAACCCUGAUGCAGCGACGCCGCGUGAGUGAAGAAGUAAUUCGUUAUGUAAAGCUCUAUCAGCCGGGAAGAAAAUGACGGUCCCUGCUUACGAAGCCCCGGCUAACUACGUGCCCGCAGCCGCGGUAAUACGUAGGGGUCAAGCGUUAUCCGGAUUUACUGGGUGUAAAGGGGGCGUAGACGGCAGUGCAAGUCUGGAGUGAAAGGCGGGGGCUCAACCCCCGGACUGCUCUGGAAACUGUACGGCUGGAGUGCAGGAGAGGUAAGUGGAAUUCCUAGUGUAGCGGUGAAAUGCGUAGAUAUUAGGAGGAACACCAGUGGCGAAGGCGGCUUACUGGACUGUAACUGACGUUGAGGCUCGAAAGCGUGGGGAGCAAACAGGAUUAGAUACCCUUGUAGUC
rnacentral:rRNA from 1 species